rnacentral:rRNA from 1 species
AACGAACGCUGGCGGCAUGCUUAACACAUGCAAGUCGAACGAGAACGUCGGGCUUUGUUGCGCACCUGUGCGUACGGAGUGGGAAGUUACACUUAGGUUCGGAAUACCUCACUGUAGGGGAAGCUAAUACAGGUUAAUGUCUUCGGAGCAAAGAUCUAUCGCCUUUGGAUGGGGCCUCGUUGGAUUAGCUGGUUGGUAGGGUAAAAGCCUACCAAGGAGACGAUCCAUGGCUGGUGGGUGAGGAUGAUCAGCCACACUGGGACUGAGACACGGACCAGACUCCUACGGGACGCAGGAGUAGGGAAUAUUGGACGAGGGGCGAAAGUCUGAUCCAGCAAUGCCGCGUGAGUGAUGAAGCCCUUAGGGUUGUAAAGCUCUUUUACCCGGGAUGAUAAUGACAGUACCGGGAGAAUAAGCUCCGGCUAACUCCGUG